GGGCGCUUAGCUCAGUUGGUUAGAGCGCCUGCCUUACAAGCAGGAGGUCGGGGGAUCGUGACCCUCAGCGCCCACCA
rnacentral:tRNA from 1 species